rnacentral:rRNA from 1 species
UUUUGGGCUGUCGCAGAUGGAUGAGCCUGCGUUGGAUUAGCUAGUUGGUGGGGUAAGGGCCUACCAAGGCUACGAUCCAUAGCUGAUUUGAGAGGAUGAUCAGCCACAUUGGGACUGAGACACGGCCCAAACUCCUACGGGAGGCAGCAGUGAGGAAUAUUGGACAAUGGGGGCAACCCUGAUCCAGCAAUGCCAUGUGUGUGAAGAAGGCCUUAGGGUUGUAAAGCACUUUAGUUGGGGAAGAAAGCUUUGAGGUUAAUAGCCUUAAGGAAGGACGUUACCCAAAGAAUAAGCACCGGCUAACUCCGUGCCAGCAGCCGCGGUAAUACGGGGGGUGCAAGCGUUAAUCGGAAUUACUGGGCGUAAAGGGUCUGUAGGUGGUUUGUUAAGUCAGAUGUGAAAGCCCAGGGCUCAACCUUGGAACUGCAUUUGAUACUGGCAAACUAGAGUACGGUAGAGGAAUGGGGAAUUUCUGGUGUAGCGGUGAAAUGCGUAGAGAUCAGAAGGAACACCAAUGGCGAAGGCAACAUUCUGGACCGAUACUGACACUGAGGGACGAAAGCGUGGGGAUCAAACAGGAUUAGAUACCCUGGUAGUCCAUGCUGUAAACGAUGAGUACUAGCUGUUGGAGUCGGUGUAAAGGCUCUAGUGGCGCAGCUAACGCGAUAAGUACUCCGCCUGGGGACUACGGCCGCAAGGCUAAAACUCAAAGGAAUUGACGGGGACCCGCACAAGCGGUGGAGCAUGUGGUUUAAUUCGAUGCAACGCGAAGAACCUUACCUGGUCUUGACAUCCUGCGAGCUUUCUAGAGAUAGAUUGGUGCCUUCGGGAACGCAGUGACAGGUGCUGCACGGCUGU